rnacentral:tRNA from 1 species
UAGUUCAGUUGGUAAAAAAUCUGCCUGCAACGCAGGAGACCUAGGUUCAGUUCCUAG